CCAUGGGGAACAUCUCCAUGCUGCCGUAGAUGAGGGGUGCCACCGAGAACAGGCCUGUGCUGAUCAUGGACAGCACCAGAUAGCUGAUGUUGUUGCGGGGGAAGGACAUGAGGCCGAAGAGAGAGGGGAUGAUGCUGAGCAGGGCCACACUGCAGAGAGGGAGAAAGCCAGGCUCAGGCUCGCACUUCGAUGGGCUCCCUAGCGUUGCCUGAGGGGCAGGAAGGACUCAGAGGCAGGAGAGAUGGCAGCCGGGCUGGCAAGAGCUGUGGACAGAGCCUGAACCCAGGACCCCAACAGAGCGAGGCUGCAAACCAGCCCCGGCAGCACGUGUCUCGCUGGGGUACUGACGAAGGCACCAGCAGGGCGUGAUCCUGGAGCACCACCAGCCUGAAGGCUACGGAGCAGGUGAGCCCCGGCAGGAAGGGCAGAUUCCUCUGAGUAGGUCCCAGCGGGAAGCAGCUGCUGGGUAUGAAGCCUGACUGAGCCGCUUCCCCUGGCAGAUGGACGGGCCUCCCCCCCUGACUGGGGCUGGGGGCAGAGUGCUCCGGGACAGCACAACAGAGAAUGAAGCUGCAGGUCAGCCUGGACGCUCUCUGGCCUCUGCCCCCGUCCAGCCAAAGCCACAAGCAGCCUGGUUUGUGCAGGGAACACCCCUGGCGGGGGCAGGGUGUGACAAAGUGGGGGUUUUUCUUGUUUUCUGUGGAGUUUUCAAUGGUUUGCAUGCAGA